UACGUAGGGGGCAAGCGUUGUCCGGAUUUAUUGGGCGUAAAGGGCGCGUAGGCGGCUCGGCACGUCCGUUGUGAAAUCGCCCGGCUCAACUGGGCGGGGUCAGCGGAUACGGUCGAGCUUGAGCAAGCUAGGGGGUAAUGGAAUUCCCGGUGUAGUGGUGGAAUGCGUAGAUAUCGGGAGGAACACCGGUGGCGAAGGCGGGUCUCUGGUCAGUAACUGACGCUGAGGAGCGAAAGCGUGGGGAGCGAACAGG
rnacentral:rRNA from 1 species